AUCAAAAAAUGUUUUAAAUGUUCGGACCGAAAUAUUUUAAAUUGAUUGCCGUAGUAUAGUCGAUGGUGGAGUGGAUCCAGGGACCGUUGGUUUUAAAUUUGGGUCAGUAUUGUUGCAGUCGUCUCAAUAAUUGCCAAAGGUUUCCCGUAGCUACUUAUUUGCAACCGUCCUGUAAAGUAAUGCCACUGUUUAAAGCUCGGUGAAGAUAAUAUUAUUAUCUUUGUCGUGGUUGUGUAUAAAGUUGUAUACGCCACAAAAAUACGUAUAUACGUGAGUGCAGUUGUAGGUGAGAAGUUGGGAAGGUAGUAAAGAGGAAAUUUAAUGUAGGUAUAUCUGAACAUAAUGAUAAACCUUUGCUAACGAAAAAACGAUUCUAAGUGAAG